CCCCACACUUCAAGAAGGAUGUGGAUAAAUUGGAGAGAGUCCAGCAAAGGGCAACAAAAAUGAUUAGGGGUCUAGAACACAUGACUUAUGAGGAGAGGCUGAGGGAGCUGGGAUUGUUUAGCCUGCAGAAGAGAAGAAUGAGGGGGGAUUUGAUAGCUGCUUUCAACUGCCUGAGAGGUGGUUCCAGAGAGGAUGGUUCUAGAUUAUUCUCAGUGGUAGAAGAGGACAGGACAAGGAGUAAUAGUCUCAAGUUGCAGUGGGGGAGGUUUAGAUUGGAUAUUAGGAAAAACUUUUUCACUAAGAGGGUGGUGAAACACUGGAAUGCGUUACCUAGGGAGGUGGUAGAAUCUCCUUCCUUAGAGGUUUUUAAGGUCAGGCUUGACAAAGCCCUGGCUGGGAUAAUUUAACUGGGAAUUGGUCCUGCUUCGAGCAGGGGGUUGGACUAGAUGACCUUCAGGGGUCCCUUCCAACCCUGAUAUUCUAUGAUUCUAUGAUUCUCCUGACACGCCCUGCCAGGUGAAUUCAGCCACACUAGUGGCUUGACCAGCCUGGGGUAUGAGACACCCAAAGCAGAGCUCAUGAGCGUGAGACGCUGGGUGCUGACAACCACCAGCCUUUAGACACUUGGCUUGUUCUCGUCAUCUCUCCCAUGCUGUAGGCACCAGCCCUUCUAAUGGAACAGUGGCUGCUCGGCCCAGAUAACGCUCACACAGGAGGUCUGGGAGCCUGGUGGGGGAAGAUACCAAGGAAAUGUUUCUGCCUCAGCUCUAGAUACAAGACUGAAUGCGCGCGAGGACUGGAUUAGUCAUGCUCCUAGAGAAUCUUCCACCAGGGCAGCUCAGAGUAUUUCAGACAAUGGGCUCCAACCUCCGUCCCCCUUGUGAAGCCACUUACCCCAGCUCAAAGCAAGCUCAGAACCUGUUCUCAGCUGGUAGCAUGUUGCACCCCUUUAGCAAUGGGAAUAGUGACUGCAGGAGGCCUGACUUCCUUGUCCUGCCCAAUGAGUCCAGCCUCACAGCCCCCUCUGGGACCUGGGCGGUGUAUUAAAGUGCUUUGAGAACCUCAGAGGAGUCACGCUACAGAGGCACGAAAUGCUAUUUCUACUGGAACGCCUCCCCAAAGCGGAGUUGUUUUGAUUCAUUUAACUUGUGCCUCCCUCUGAGUAACUUCACAGCCCCGAGGAAGCAAUCAGAGCAGAACGCAAUAAAUCCCGCUCAUUACGAGGACUUUUCAGAUCAGAAAGUUUCCUGAAACCCAACACAACUCCUCCAUGCUCACCCACCCCUACAUUCAUUAUCAAGCUCUUCCCAGAAUUCAUCAUGUUGACAGUAACCGGUACAGUAACUCUAAGUAGUAAAUGAAUAAUUCAAUAUUGACAUCCGGGGAAAUAAACCCUGUUCUUUACUCUC